rnacentral:rRNA from 1 species
ACUAGACCUAGCCCACUCCCCACCAAACUAAACUAUAUUCUAACCCUUAAAUAAAACAUUCACUUAAUAUAGUAUAGGAGAUAGAAAUAUUACUCAGGAGCUAUAGAGAUAGUACCGUAAGGGAAAGAUGAAAGACUUCUAAAAGUAAAAAACAGCAGAGAUAACCCCUCCUACCUUUUGCAUAAUGGAUUAGCUAGAAAACAGUUGACAAAAAGAUCUUAUAAGCCAACACCCCCGAAACCAGACGAGCUACUCAUGAACAAUUGUCAGAAUGCACUCUUCUAUGUGGCAAAAUAGUGAGAUGAUUUAUGAGUAGAGGUGAAAAGCCAACCGAGCCUGGAGAUAGCUGGUUGUCCAAAAAAAGAAUCUAAGUUCAUCCUAAAGCACUACCUAUAAAACUAUAAAUUGUAAUGUAAGCUUUAGAGAAAUUCAAUAGGGGGACAGCUCUAUUGAAAAGGAUACAACCUAUAAAGGAGAGUAAGAAGUAUAAGUUUACAUAGUUGGCCUAAAAGCAGCCAUCAAUUAAGAAAGCGUUAAAGCUCAAAUUAUCUUACUACUAUUAAUCCCAAUAAUAUUAACCAAUCUCCCUUACCUAAUAUUGGACUAUUCUAUUAUAAAAUAGAAGAAAUAAUGCUAGUAUGAGUAACAAGAAUUAUUUCUCCGCGCGCAAGCUUAUAUCAGAACGGAUGCCCACUGAUAGUUAACGACCUAACAGUCAUAACCCACACAUAAACCCCCUAUUUAGCCUAAUCGUUAACCCGACACAGGAGCGCGGCACGGAAAGAUUAAAAGAAAGAGAAGGAACUCGGCAAACACUAACUCCGCCUGUUUACCAAAAACAUCACCUCUAGCAUAACUAGUAUUAGAGGCACUGCCUGCCCAGUGACAUUAGUUAAACGGCCGCGGUACUCUGACCGUGCAAAGGUAGCAUAAUCAUUUGUUCUUUAAUUAAGGACUUGUAUGAAUGGCAAGACGAGAGUUCAACUGUCUCCUCAUUCCAAUCAGUGAAAUUGACCUCUCCGUGAAGAGGCGGAGAUAAAGUUAUAAGACGAGAAGACCCUAUGGAGCUUUAAUUUAUUUAUCUAAAGUCUCACUAUUAAUCCGACAGGUAUACUUCAACAUCUCUCUAGAUAAAAAAUUUUGGUUGGGGUGACCUCGGAGUAAAAACCAACCUCCGAGUAAUAUUCUGCUAUGAUUUACCCUAUCUAAGCUUGAAAUUCAAUUGACCCAAUAUAUUGAUCAACGGAGCAAGUUACCCUAGGGAUAACAGCCCAAUCCUAUUUUAGAGUCCAUAUCUACAAUAGGGUUGUCGACCUCGAUGUUGGAUCAGGACAUCCUAAUGGUGCAGCAGCUAUUAAUGGUUGGUUUGUUCAACGAUUAAAGUCCUACGUGAUCUGAGUUCAUACCGGAGUAAUCCAGGUCGGUUUCUAUCUAUAACCAACUUCUCCUAGCACGAAAGGAUCAGAGAAGUAAAGCCCACUUACUAAAGCGCUUCCAUUAAGAUUUAUGAAAUAAUCUUAAUACAUAAACACAAACCACUACAGCCCAAGACCAGGGCAC